UCUCCGUAUGUGAACCUGUGGAGGGAUCAUUACCAGAGAUGGCGGGCCCCGCGCCCCCGUCCCCAACCCUUUGUUGACCAAAACCAUUUUGCCUCGGGGGUAGAGCGUCCGCCGCCGCCCCCGGACGACCACCGAACGCUGUCUCUGUACGUCGGAGUCUUAAUGAAAAUGAUUGAAAACUUUCAACAACGGAUCUCUUGGUUCUGGCAUCGAUGAAGAACGCAGC
rnacentral:misc_RNA from 1 species